AUUGAACGCUGGCGGCAUGCUUUACACAUGCAAGUCGAACGGUAACAGGCCUUCGGGUGCUGACGAGUGGCGAACGGGUGAGUAAUGCAUCGGAACGUACCCAGAGGUGGGGGAUAACGCAGCGAAAGCUGUGCUAAUGCCGCAUGUGAUCUGAGGAUGAAAGCGGGGGACCGAGCAGCAAUGUUUGGCCUCGCGCCUUUGGAGCGGCCGAUGUCGGAUUAGCUAGUUGGUGGGGUAAAGGCCUACCAAGGCGACGAUCCGUAGCUGGUCUGAGAGGACGACCAGCCACACUGGGACUGAGACACGGCCCAGACUCCUACGGGAGGCAGCAGUGGGGAAUUUUGGACAAUGGGCGCAAGCCUGAUCCAGCAAUGCCGCGUGCGGGAAGAAGGCCUUCGGGUUGUAAACCGCUUUUGGCAGGAACGAAACGGUGUCCGCUAAUACCGGGCGCUAAUGACGGUACCUGCAGAAUAAGCACCGGCUAACUACGUG
rnacentral:rRNA from 1 species